AUAGUGCUGAAGUUUGUCUUCUAGGGAUUAGGUUGUAGAUAAAUCAAGUAUUGUAUGGUGGCUUGUGGAAGACAGUUUUGACUCUAAGAUCAGUUCAACAACCGUUAGCUUCAGCUAUAAUCAUUUAUGAUAUCAAAAAGAAGAAAUAUUUUCAACAUUAAGGAAUUGAUUACAUGAUUUUUAAGUUUUUUUUCUUUCUUGUAUCAAGGGACAAGUCAUAGAUUAAAAAAUUUUUGACAGCAAGCCCUAUCUAAUUUUAUAGUUGACAAAUGUGUGCUAUUAUCACAAAGGAGAAGUCAGAGAAAGAUGCUACAGACUGCGCCAAUUCAUUCAUACAAUUUUUCUGUAGUUCAGCAAAAGACCACAGUGAACUUAAAUGAACUCUUUAAACAAAUGAGUUGAAUAAUUCCAUCCACUUACACUAACACCCCAUCUGGUAGUAAGGCCUUUAGACUCCAAAGACAAUCUAGAGGCAAAGUGGAAGCUAUUGUUGG
rnacentral:lncRNA from 1 species